rnacentral:rRNA from 1 species
AACGCUAGCUACAGGCUUAACACAUGCAAGUCGAGGGGCAGCAUGGAACCUAGCUUGCUAAGUUCUGAUGGCGACCGGCGCACGGGUGAGUAACACGUAUCCAACCUACCAUUCACACGGGGAUAGCCUUUCGAAAGAAAGAUUAAUACCCGAUAGUAUAGCGAUAAGGCAUCUUAUUGCUAUUAAAGAAUUUCGGUCAUCGAUGGGGAUGCGUUCCAUUAGGUUGUUGGCGGGGUAACGGCCCACCAAGCCUUCGAUGGAUAGGGGUUCUGAGAGGAAGGUCCCCCACAUUGGAACUGAGACACGGUCCAAACUCCUACGGGAGGCAGCAGUGAGGAAUAUUGGUCAAUGGACGAGAGUCUGAACCAGCCAAGUAGCGUGAAGGAUGACUGCCCUAUGGGUUGUAAACUUCUUUUAUACGGGAAUAAAGUGAGGCACGUGUGCCUUUUUGUAUGUACCGUAUGAAUAAGGAUCGGCUAACUCCGUGCCAGCAGCCGCGGUAAUACGGAGGAUCCGAGCGUUAUCCGGAUUUAUUGGGUUUAAAGGGAGCGUAGGCGGACGCUUAAGUCAGUUGUGAAAGUUUGCGGCUCAACCGUAAAAUUGCAGUUGAUACUGGGUGUCUUGAGUACAGUAGAGGCAGGCGGAAUUCGUGGUGUAGCGGUGAAAUGCUUAGAUAUCACGAAGAACUCCGAUUG